rnacentral:misc_RNA from 1 species
UUUCCGUAGGUGAACCUGCGGAAGGAUCAUUAUUGUAUAACCGAGGUCCGAGGGCUGUCGCUGACCCGACAGGUCGUGCACGCCACAGUGCCCCCACCCACCUCCAUCCCAACCCCCUGUCCACCACCGCGCGGGCCCCCCUUUGGCUUGUUAGGAGGCGGGCUUACGCUGUCACACAAAAUUUGUAAGCACUCUAGAACGUAUUUUUUGUUUUUGCGUUCAAGCAAUGCAUACAACUUUCAACAACGGACCUCUUGGCCUCCGCAUCGACGAAGAACG